GUUUCUCAUGAUGUACUCUGCAUAAAAGUUAAAUAAGCCUGGUGACAAUGUACAGCCUUGAUGUACUCCUUUCCCAAUUUGGAACCAGUCUGUUAUUCCAUGUCCCAGGUGCUAAGGGAGAGUGCACACACUUGGCUAGAAAGAAGGUUCUGCUCUUCAGGUCCAGUGAUGCUUGAGGAGGGGCAGUGCAGGAGCAGGGCUCUUUAACCUGCAAAUGGGAAGACUCGAGAAGUAGAGUUGCUACCUUCAAGCUUGGCUGGCCUGGCCUGUGACAGGGGAGAAGGCCAUGGCACACUUCUGUGUCCCCAGGAACUGAAAAGGUGUCUUCAGAAUAGAGAAUGAGCUUGAGAAUAGGAAAGGUUUGUAGCUUGAGUUCAGAAGGUAGAGCUGGAGCCAGCAGGUGAAAGGCAGUUGCCAUUCAACUCAACUUUUGUGAAUUAGAGUUGCCUAGAGGGAGAAGCAGCCACCUCAAGAAGAAGAUGUGAACAGGCCCAGACAGCCACUGGGAAGGCAGAUGGGUGGCCUUUUAAAGUCCCUCCUGGUUCUUAGACUCAGAUUCUGUUGUCUCCAAAACUGUUAGUGCAGGAGAUGAUGAUGGUGGUGAUGGUGGUGAUGGUAAAGACUGAAGUUUCUGCUUAUUGAACAUCUAUGAUGAAACUGGCUCUUUACUACUGUAUCUUUAAUAUGCAUUUCAUAUAAGAGGAACAGAGGCUCGCACAAGUGAAGCGGCCAGACUAGGGUAAAUGGCAGACCCAAGGUUUAUAUCCAUCUAUCGGAUUUCAAACUCUACAUUCUUGGAGUACAUCUUGGAAGAUCAAGGGUUGGGAAAGUAGGCUAUGUAUCCAAUAUAUGUGUGCUUCUCUCCAGAUGAGGCCCUGAUCUGCCUGCAGUGUUGUGCAGUUGGGACACCCAGCUCUGCUGUCAAGAUGCUCAUGGCCUGGGCUCAAAGGAGAUGAGACAGGCACGGUUACCUUCAAUUCAGACAAAGGUGAUCUUAAACAUGCAGAUUUAAUCAUUGCUAGAGAGGCGGGGAAAGAUGCCACUGUGGGCCAGAGAUUUGAGGGGUGGACCAGGGGUUCCUGAGAGGUGGCCUUGUGUGGCACAUGGAUCAGUCCAGGGAGGACAGUGCUUGUACUGGAGCAUGAAGGCUGUGACUUCUAGGUGCAGACCAUCGGGGAUGCUUACAUGGUGCCCUCGGGACUGCCCAGGCACAACGGGAGCCGGCACACUGCGAGAUGCCAACAUGGCCCUGGACAUCCUCAGCUCUGUGGGUGACUUCCAGAUGAGGCAUGUGCCCCCUGUGCCCAUUUGCAUCAGGGCUGGCCUGCACUCAGCGUACAGAAUUCAUGUCAGCAGAAGCACUGUCCAGACACUGCUCAAUCUGGAUGAAGGCUACAAAAUUGACAUCAGAGGACAGACUGAGAUAAAGGGCUGUUUGGGGAAGCUGGUCGAGAUCAGGGGAUGGGGAAUCCCCUACCUCGUGAUUUGGUAUAACCAUGACCUAGGCAGCAGAACCCACAGAAGGGCCUCCCGUCACCUGUCACAGAGACACUCCACACCGGGACCCGUUUUCCACUCUGCCCCUGACAACUGUGCUCAGAAGUAGCUCUGCCAAGCUGCUGUAAGGCCCUGGCUGUCACUCACCACGUUGCUCCCUCCUCCAUGCAUAGGGAUGCCUGGCAGGAGCUCAUAAACCAAGAGAUCAAAGUGGCCUUUGCCAAAGCCCUCCAGAGCCCAGCGGGGCCCUGGGGUGUGGGGAGGGCCUCGGCCAGGCCCUGAGGAGCAGGAUGGAGUGGGGCAGGGGCCAGCACCAGCCCAGAGACUCCUAUGCUUGGACACCCCCGGGCCCUCUCCCUCCUCCACUCCCUGCAACAAGCUCCCUUGCUGAGUUCUCUGGCAGCCAACUGGCUCUCAUUAAUAUGUGCCCUAGGGCAAUAGUCACUGAUGCUUUCCUCUGUGAAUUCUACGGGUAAACUUGCCUCUUGACACAGAAACAAUAAAAAACAUAGAAAUAGUC